UUGGGAUUGAAAAAAAAAAAUCAUGACGCAUGCCAGGUAUCAUUCUUAUUUUUAAAUGUGUUUCCAGAUCUGAAUCAAAAAGUUAAAUGCAGAGUUUUUCCUGCUGCAGGCAUGUGGAAGUCUAAGCAAUUCUCUUACUGCUUGAAGUUGUCUUCAGGACUCAGUGAAAUGAUGAGGCAGCCAUUCCAAACAAGUGAAAAACAAUAGUGCCUUCAAAGAUAUGUGCAUCUAAGGGAAAAUGAUGAUUUAAAAUUAGCCAAUUACCACCCUUCAAUUUUCUUCAACUCCCAACUGAUAUAAAGAUACUUUCUGGGCAACUUAGAAAGACUGUGAAUUGUUUUCAAAUGUUUAUUAUUUUAUCUAUCUUUGUCAUAAUAACAUUUUACAUACAUAUAAUGCUUCCUAUGUGCACCUGACAUGCAUUGUCUUAUUAAAUGCUCACUGUGAA